GUCUUGUCUCAUUUCCUGUAGGUGAGGAGGUGUCAUUCCUGCACUGGGGCACGGGCAGAGUCUCUGCCCGCUCUGUCCUGGGGUCUCCAGGCUCACCUGAAGUCGGAGAGCAGAGCCCUCCGGUGGCCUGCCUGCUCGAGCGGGACCACAGGCUUCCUGGAGGCCCUGGUGUCAGAGCUCCUCCGCGGGCCGCCCGUCCCGAGUGGGGCGGCUUCUGCCGUGGAGACAGAGAUGCAGGAGAGAAGUGGCCACCGAGCUGAGCUGCUGGCAAGUGGGCGGUAGUCCCAUACCCAGCCCUCUCCACGCUGGCGUCCACCAAGCACCUGCUAUCCUGUCGGCUUCCUAAAGGUCAGUGCUGGUGGGCGCUGUUACACGGACCUUCGUUCCCAUCCAGAAGACCUCCCCCGACGCCUCCACACGGCUCGCGUGCCCCCCUUGGAACACUGGCUCCGAAGCUCUGCUGUCUUCAAACCACUGUGACGCCGGAGGAACCUAGCUGGGGCCCGUUGGCGUGCCAGGCAGAGAGGUCUCCUUGUCUCCCAACCAACUUCCCACUUCCCCCUGCGCUGAGAGCAGGAAGGUCUCCUGUGACGGCCGGGAUGGAUCAUUUGCCCUUACACAGCGCUCCCGUGUAAGGUUGAGUGGUGUACGCACUGCACAAAUGCGUGCCCCUGAGUGGUGAGGAUACAACAGGAGGCUACCACCCGCUCUGCCCUGACAAGGAGAAAGGUGCCUUUUUUAUAAUUCACCCAAAGCUACCUUCUGUGGCGGGCACAGCCGUGCCCUUACUCGUGAUGUCUUCUUUCAAACCUCAUACCCAGGUCUAGACUUGGGAAACUCAAAAGCCAGUCAUUUGACUCCUUUGUGAGUUGAGUCCUGCACUAUUUUCCCUUCCCUGAGGCUUCUGUCGG
ensembl:lncRNA